rnacentral:lncRNA from 1 species
UACGGCGAGGCAGAGGGAGGCUUAAGAGGUAUUGGGGAGAGGUGAUUAGGCAUGACAUGGCUAGAAUGCGGGUUUAUGAGGAUAUGACCCUUGAUAGGAAAGUCUGGAGGUCCAGUAUCAGGGUUGUAGGAUAGGGGCUCCUAGAGUUUUUCGUACUCCUCACCCGGGGCUGGGUGAUGCUUGGCAGGGCUAUCCAUAGAUGAUUUGUGUUUUGGCUUGUGUCUCCCUUAUGGUAGUUACUGUAUGAUAUUAUGUAGGAUAGGGGCUCCUAGAGUUUUUUCGUACUCAUCACUCGGGGUUGGGUACGGCGAGGCAGAGGGAGGCUUAAGAGGUAUUGGGGAGAGGUGAUUAGGCAUGACAUGGCUAGAGUGUGGGUUUUCCAGGACAUGACCCUUGAUAGGAAAGUUUGGAGGUCUAAAUCAGGGUUGUAGGAUAGGGGCUCCUAGAGUUUUUUCGUACUCAUCACUCGGGGUUGGGUGAGGCUAGGCAGGGCUAUCCAUAGAUGAUUUGUGUAUUGGAUUGUGUCUCCCUUAUGGUAGUUAUUUAUGGUAGUUNN